rnacentral:rRNA from 1 species
AGGUCCCAAGGGUUGGGCUGUUCGCCCAUUAAAGUGGCACGCGAGCUGGGUUCAGAACGUCGCGAGACAGUUCGGUCCCUAUCUGUUGUGGGCGUAGGAAAUUUGAGAGAUGCUGACUCUAGUACGAGAGGACCGAGUUGGACGAACCUCUAGUGUACCAGUUGUGGUGCCAACUGCACCGCUGGGUAGCUACGUUCGGAAGAGAUAAGCGCUGAAAGCAUCUAAGCACGAAGCUCUUCUCAAGAUGAGAUUUCCAUUAAGGGUCGUUAAAGACGAUGACGUUGAUAGGUCGCAGGUGUAAAGGCGGUAACGCCAAAGCCGAGCGAUACUAAUUACCCGUAAGCUUUUUUAAAC